AACACCAUCAAGUGAUCCUGCCAUGUGCAGGGAGCUGUCUUCCCAACCCGCUUUCUGGGCAUCUCAGCCACCCUGUAAUGAAUCCAAGGUUACGAAUACAGCAGAAAAUACAGGUUUUACCCAUGAUUACAUGCAAAGGAACCACCACAGUGCCCAAAAUGCCAGGGUGUGCUACAUGAAAGGGCAAGAGAACAGGAGGACUGGUGAUGCAGAGAGAUACACCUGGGUUGACUUUAAACUGCAUUUGCCAGGCCUCAGCAAUUGCCCACAGUCCUGGGUCCUGCCCAGAGAAGACUGGGAUGAAAAAAUGGAGCAAUGAAAGAUGGAAGCAAUUCCUUAAGUUUGUGUGAGAUUCAGAGCAGGAAACGAGUAUCAGUCUGUGACAAUAUAAUCAAACUCUUUUCCUGUAGGUCUCAGAGCAAUAUUAUAAUAAGCUGAGAACCACAGGAACAGGGAAUCAAAGUGACAAUUAAAGGUCUUUUUAAAAAGA